AGAAAAGAAAAGAAAAGAAAAGAAAAGAAAAGAAAAGAAAAGAAAAGAAAAGAAAAGAAAAGAAAAGAAAAGAAAAGAAAAGAAAAGAAAAGAAAAGAAAAGAAAAGAAAAGAAAAGAAAAGAAAAGAAAAGAAAAGAAAAGAAAAAAGAAGCUAAGAAGAGGUAUGUAGAUCACCUCUGUAGAUUCACCCAGCCAAAGGGUUUCUGCAUCAGAAAGAUGGGAAGCAAGAAGCCAAGGUGCUGGAGAAGAAUGUGGACAGUGCCAAGAGAGUUCAAAGCUGUCACUCCAGUCAGAAAUGAACACCUGGAAUUGACUGUCACUGGGAUUUAAAAUUUUCAAACACCAAAGGAAAGAGAGGGAAGAAAUUGGAAUAAGGCCAUGGUGUAAAAGAUACAUGGUAACUUCCUGAAAUGUCUAAUGAAUAUUUUCCCUGAGUACCUUGACAGUUUUGAAGUGUAAGGGGGGUUUACAACGCCAUACAAGGAUUGUUUGUUCUAGGCACAAUAAGUUUAUUAAAAUGAGGUUCUGAUUAAAAUGAAAGGGUCUGGCUCAUUUGAAAUAUUAAUUUACAACUUGAAUUCUGCAGUCUGCCUGCAAGGGUCUCCCUGCAUGAUCAGGGCUAUGCUUGUUAAGUAGGAAAGCAUUGUUGCAUGUAAAGCCAACUUUUUUGCUUUUAAUGUUGUCUGAUCUAUUUCUCUAAGCUAGCCAGGUCUGUUGAGCUUCAGGGCAAAAUGAAAAGUUUCUCUGCUAGUUGGACUAAGGAUAAGUAUAUGGUUUCUGUUGGAAGGGUGAAGGGAGAUGGAAAAAUGGGUUAUAUGGAAUAUGGGGUAGAGUUAUUUGGAGGUUAUCUUCCCUACUGAUUCUCUUACUUGUCCCUGGUACUACCACUUGAAGGAUGUCUGUCCAUUAACUUUCAUUACUGACAGCCACAGCACAAAUAGUGAGACAGGAGACCAGCUACAUAUAAAUUGGAUUGACUAUAUCAAAUAAAGAAUUUUUAUAUCAUUUCUAUGACUAACCC
rnacentral:lncRNA from 1 species